GUGCAUAUGUCAAUUCUGUCAUGAGCAUACAUCAGCAGUUACACAUGUUUAGGGGAAUAGGGCAUUAUUAAUAUAACAUGUAAGGUGGUAUGUGCUAGAAAUGGGUAAACCACUAUCAGCGAGUCUGCCUAUGGGGUGGGGGCCCCGCCGCGCAAGGCAGUGUCCCACAUUGUCCCUCAGAAACAUACCCCUUGGGCUUAUUAGCAGGUGGUCACCCUACUUAUGAAUUACCUUUUUACCAUAUUAACCCUUUAUUAAUCAUUACGCUAAUCCUUUAUUAACCCUUAUUUUAAUUAACCAUAAUAUUAUUAGCCAUUUUAUACAAUCAUUUUUUACAAUCAGCGAUAUUAACCCUUUAUUAUUGAACUAGUAUUAUUAACUAUAUUAUCCCUUAAUCAUUGAAUGGUUUGUUUUAGUUUUGGAUAUUUGUACUGAUGGGUUGCAUUUCUUUACAGGCCAAACACAAGCGUUACUUCGGCCACUCAGCCCACGUGACCAACAUUCGUUUCUCUUACGAUGACAAAUAUGUGAUAAGUGUAGGAGGCAACGAUUGUAGUGUGUUCGUAUGGAGAUGCAUCUGAUGGGCCUCCACACAGCUGGGAAUCUCUCCUCCAAACAUCAAGCCGGAGAUACCUCCAGCGUCCGGAUGCUGCACUUCUGUUAUGCUGCGUUUUACCCCUCUAGACCUGAUGGAUCCUAGACAAGCUCGAAGAGGGUUUUUUAACCAUUCUGUGAAGUGCAAUGUUUACGCUUACGUGUACUUUUACAAAGAAAAGAGAAAAGAUACACUCAUAACUCAUGCCACUGUUUCAGAAAUAAAUGUAUUUUUUGUUCGGAUUCUGAAGUGCCUUGGAGACACAGUUUGCUGAUCUUUGCCCCGAAAUGUUCAUAUGAUGCAUAUAUGGUGCUAAAUGUCCACUUAGAGCUUUUUACAAUUCUUUUAAAAACCAUGCAUUAUGCAAUUUCUUUUCUUCUUUAUCUUCUUUUUACAUUUUGUACAUAAAUGUCAACUCACUAAAUGCUCUUCCUGUUAAAAAUAUCAAAGUAUCCAAAUACAUGGGACUCAGGAGAAAUUAAGUACUGUAAUGUGUAGAUGUUAUAUUUGACCUGUGCUAUUUUUGUUAAAAUAUUUAUUUUUUAUGUACGUACUUGCGUAUGACGUAUGCAAAUUAGUCUGUGGGCGUAUAUGAAAAUUGAAAAUGCAAAAAAUUUGCUGUCCAAAUAUUAGAGUUAUAUGAAAUGUACGUAGUAGCGUUGUAUGUCGCGACGUGUGUAGAUUGCGAUGCGCUGUUUGUAGCCAAUGACGUGACAGCAGCUGUUUAUCGUGCGCAGAUAUCUCGUUAAAUCUGUCAUUUGUAUGUUCGUGUUUUUGUAAUUCGUCUGAUCAGAGGUCAGUCUAAUUGAAAGCUAUAUAAUAAUGCAUGAAUCGAAGUCUGUGUGGUUGUUGAUCAUGAAUGAAUACUGUUGUUUGAUAAUUAAAAGACAACUGUGCUCA